rnacentral:rRNA from 1 species
GAAUGAAGAAGGAGUAGCUCAACAUGAAAAUCUGGGCAUCUGGCCUUGAAUUGUAGUUUGAAGAUGCAUUUGCCAAUGGACAUGAUAAUGAAAGCCUUUUGGGAAAAAGCAUCAACGAGGGUGAGAAUCCUUCUUGACAUUUCAAUUGUCCAUGUACGGUGUGCAUUGAAGAUUCACGUUCCUUGGGAUUUGAACGCAAACUUGUUGGUAAAUUUCAUUUAAAGCUAAAUAUUGGUUUGAGACCGAUAGAAAACAAGUACCAUGAGGGAAAAGUGAAAAGGACUUUGAAAAGAAAGUUAAAAGUGCUUGAAAUUGCUGAAGAGGAAGCGGGUGUAUUUCGCACGCAAUUCUCAAGAUUGUUGCGCAUAUCUCUGAUACCUUGUUGUCUUGAUUUAAUUGCAGCAAUAAGUUAUAUUUGUGAAUGCGCAAUGUUGCUUGUGUUUUGUGCCUUCAUCGAUUCACAGCCAUAGAAACAAUCUAAACAUGAAUCUUUGCUCUUGUGCAAAAGAACAUUUAGGUUCAGAUUUAGCUUGUGGAUCGCUCUUAAUAUUGUUGAUUG